rnacentral:rRNA from 1 species
GACGAACGCUGGCGGCGUGCUUAACACAUGCAAGUCGAACGGAAAGGCCUGCUUUCCCUUGUGGAUUGCGGGUACUCGAGUGGCGAACGGGUGAGUAACACGUGAGUGAUCUGCCCCCAACUUGGGUAUAAGCCUGGGAAACUGGGUCUAAUUCCCGAUAGGACUGCAGGGUGGUGCCUGUGGUGGAAAACGAUUUUCUAGUGGUUGGGGAUGAGCUCGCGGCCUAUCAGCUUGUUGGUGGGGUAAUGGCCUACCAAGGCGGCGACGGGUAGCCGGCCUGAGAGGGUGGACGGCCACAGUGGGACUGGGAUACGGCCCAGACUCCUACGGGAAGCAGCAGUGGGGAAUAUUGCACAAUGGGCGGAAGCCUGAUGCAGCGACGCCGCGUGGGGGAUGACGGCCUUCGGGUUGUAAACUCCUUUCGACCGCGAGGAAGCCACCUGGUUGGAAGGGUGGUGACGGUAGUGGUAGAAGAAGCACCGGCUAACUACGUG